rnacentral:lncRNA from 1 species
AUUUGAUUUUCCAUUUCAUUCUUAAGAUUGGGGACAUUUAUUGUUAUUAUUUCAUUGAAAAGAUUGUGUAUUCCUUUAGUUUGUAUUUCAGAACCUUCAUCUAUCCCUAUGAAUCUUAUACUUGACCUCAUAACAUUAUCCUGUAUUUCUUAAAAAUUCUCUUUAUGGUCUCUUAGCAUCUUUUCUCCAUGAUCAACUUUAUUUUCAAGAUUAUAUACUUUGCCUUCAUUGCCUGAAAAUCCAUCUUUCAGAUGGUCUAGUCUAUUGGUGAUGCUUUCCAUUGAAUUUUUAAUUUGGUUUAUUGAUUCCUUCAUUUCAAGAAUUUCCAAUUGAUUUUUUUCAGAAUUUCUGUUUCCUUAUUAAAAUGGUCUUUCACUUCUUAUAUUUUGUCUCUGAUUUCUAACCUUACAUCAUCUUUUUAUCUCAUAGAUCAGUUUAACUAUAAACUUUCUAAAUUCCUUCUCUGACAUUUGUUCCACUGUGGUGUUGGUGGAGUCUGCUUUUGAGUCAUUUUGGUUUGUUUGGGAUGGUUCAUUCCCUUGUAUUUUCAUAUUUUUUGCAUGUCUGCCCAUAUAUCUGAAGCAGCAGAGCUUCUAUUCUAUUUGCCUUUAGUGAUCCUGUAGGUUUCCUGUGCCUCACAGAUGGUCGGGCAAUAAUUGCAACAACUGUGCAUAUGAUAUAUAGCACUAAAUUAAGUACUUAAUUCCCAUGUUGACACAAAGAUAAUUGACACAAUAAACAGCACUGAUAGGCUCAGCAAUUUCUAUAAGUAAUGACAGCAAGUAAUCAUGAAUUAUCUGGCAUAGAAUCAAACAAUAGGUUUUAUUUGACUUCAAUUGUAUUAAUUGUUGCUAUAGCAUUAGUGCUAUGGUCUGGCAUUUUAUAAACAAAUUAGUGUUAGGAAAAGUUAAAGAGAGUUAAUUAAAAGAAAAGAAGAAAAGAUGAGGGGGUAGAAAGUGUAGUCUCAAGAUAAGUAGAGCAAAUGUAGAGGCAACGUAGGAUGUGUUGUUUAUGAGGGGGGUAGAGAAAAAUAGAAGUAAAAAUUAAAGGAAGAGUGAAAGAAGAAUAAAGUUUAGCUGUUAGUGAGAAAAAGAGAAACAAGGGAAAAAGAGUUGUGACACAGAUAAUAGAAAACCAAACCAAAAUAUAUGAAUCAAAAACUCUAACCCUCAAAAAACAGAGUAAGGAAAAAUAACUACUUUCAAGAAGUGCUAGAAAUGAGAAAGCAGAAACAUAUAUGUAUAUUUAUAAAUGUCCCUCAUGUAUCAAUCAGUACAUAAUUAAAAGGAAAAAAAACAGUCAGUGAGAUUAUAUGCUUGCUGUCUGUUCCAAACUGUCUCUCCAUUUCUUAGCUUCCUUUCUCAGCGGGAUGAUGUGGGGAGAUGUUGAAGAUACUGUCGGCUUCACUUCCAGGUAUAGAUACCACUGGGUUCUAUGAGAUGAGUUUUUGGAAAUGAAGCUCCCAAGGUUGGGGAUCAGAUCUAGUAUUGCCCCAGGUGUUUGUUGCAUGGGAAAUUAUUGAGCAUUAAUUAAUCAACACACUUCUAGAACUAUAGCCCACUAAUCUCCCCAGGGCUCCACUCAUUGGAAGGAGAAGUCAGUCCUUUACUGGUUCUUUUAUUUUUGGAUACUGCCUUUUCUGGCCUUCCAAGAUCUGUCAUUCCUGUCCUUUCAGAUUCUUCAGCCACUGCCUCUAGUCCUGGGCAUUCCUGGUCUCAAGGGAGGAGAAGAGGGUGAGGUCUCUAGCCUCUCUGACCUGUGUUACCCCUCAGGCAAAAUGCUCUCCAUGCCAGAAAUUCUCCUUAUUUGCUAGACUCAGUUGAGAUCAGGAAGCUGACUUCUGCUGGAUUCAUGUACGGGACUCAGCCCUGAACUCAAGGAUCUAAGUUCCCUGUUUGAGUUUGGUUUGCUGUAGCACCAUGUCCAAAAAUGUCUCCAGCUUGACUCCCUGUGCAUAGCAGACAGACUCAGGUGACUUGUGUACACCAGUUUAAUGAGCUGAAUAGCCUGUGGGUGAGCCCAAGGCGGGCUGACCCUCCCAUCCUGGGAUUCUCCCCACCAAGUCUGUCUGCUGCACAUUUUACUCUUUUCCAAACUUGUAUAAUAAUUUCCCCUGCUCCCACUCAGUUCCAAUUCUGUUCUUUAUUCUUGUCUGAUAUACCAAAAAUUUACUAGUCUUCAAGACUCUCUGUCCAAUAUUAAGUAUCAGUGAAGUGCCUUUUUAACUCCCCUCAAAGAAAGCAGUGUUCUCGCUAUUUGAGUCCUGUGUCAUGAAGCUGUGGAAAAAGUCUUUUCCCACUAAAUCACUAUCUUGUUCCUUGUGCAAUUUAUUUUCAAAUUUAGUUUAAAACAUCACCGAGAUUGUAGUGUAUAAUCUAUUUUGUUAUCCCCCCCUUUUUUCCCAAUUCAGUGGUUCAUCAUGGACUUCUGUCCAUGUAGGACAUACAGUUCCACCUCAUUUUGGUAGAUCUAUAAAAUGUUAACAUGUCAUUUGUUUUAAAAUACUGUGGGUAUGCUUGUGUGUAUGUAUUACCCCCCCCUUAAUUGUGGUUUGACUUUCACAGUUUCAAUCAACUACCAUCCAAAAAUAUUAAGUGAAAAAUUCCAUAAAUAAAAAAUUCAUGAGUUUUAAAUUGUGCUCUAUAAUGAGUGGUGUCAUGAAAUCUUGCAGUACACUCCCCAGGGCAAGAAUACUACCUUUGUUCAAUGUGUCACAGGAAAGCAGGGAGCUGAAACUCCAGAUCUCAGUUCUUGUGUUCCAAUGAAAGAAAAUGUAAAGUCAUACACCAAAAGUCAUAUAAGAGAACUUUAUUAUAAUUGAAAGUGAGGUGAAUGUAAAGUAAAAGCAAAGUGAGCCCUCUCUCUCAAGAGAGAGAGAGAGGGGGGCUAUCUCUGGGCAGAGAAUGACAAAGGAGACAGUGCUGUCUCAAAAUUUAUUACUAUUUGAUGUUUACCCAGAGAACUGGGGAAUACCUUCUUUACUCUCUGCCAAUCAGGUGUUUAACUCCUCCUUCAUGGUGGGUGAUGGAAUUUUCAACCUUAGUUGGCUACUCUGGAACUCUCAAGGUAGCCAUCCUAUUUAGUUUUCCUUAAUGUAUAAGUCAAUCCCAUGUUAAUCUUGAGCACUGGGGUCAGUAACUGAUCAGAAGUUACCUUAGUGCAUCUGUGCUAAUAAAGGAAUCUUCCUUCCCAGACAAAUGGAACUAACUUCACAUCAACCUCAGUGGACCCUGUCAAAAGUUAGUCCCAUUAAUACUUUUCUCUUGAUGUGUUUUCCCAUAAGCUCAUUCGCUUCGCUUUAUUUUCUACAAAUUAACUACAACCAUUUGCUUUCUUGUCUACUUUGUAAGUAGUUUUUAUAAAAGACCCUCAAGUGGGCUUGGGUUGUGGCUCAAUGGUAGAGCACUUGCCCUGCGCUUGUGAGGCACUGGGUUCAAUCCUCAGCACCACAUAAGAAUGAAUGAAUGAAUGAAUUAAAGGUAUUGUGUCCAUUUAUACAACUAAAUUUAAAAAAAAAAAAAGACCCUAGGGCUGGGGAUGUGGCUCAAGCGGUAGCGCGCUCGCCUGGCAUGCGUGCGGCCCGGGUUCGAUCCUCAGCACCACAUGCAAACAAAGAUGUUGUGCCCGC